rnacentral:rRNA from 1 species
UUGAACGCUGGCGGCAUGCCUUACACAUGCAAGUCGAACGGUAGAGGGGCAACCCUUGAGAGUGGCGAACGGGUGAGUAAUAUAUCGGAACGUGCCCAGUCGUGGGGGAUAACGCGGCGAAAGCUGCGCUAAUACCGCAUACGAUCUAUGGAUGAAAGCGGGGGAUCGCAAGACCUCGCGCGAUUGGAGCGGCCGAUAUCAGAUUAGGUAGUUGGUGGGGUAAAAGCCCC